UACGUAGGGUGCAAGCGUUGUCCGGAAUUAUUGGGCGUAAAGAGCUCGUAGGCGGUUUGUCGCGUCUGCUGUGAAAACUCGGGGCUUAACUCCGGGCCUGCAGUGGGUACGGGCAGACUAGAGUGCGGUAGGGGAGACUGGAAUUCCUGGUGUAGCGGUGAAAUGCGUAGAGAUGUGGAGGAACACCAGUGGCGAAGGCGGCUUUCUGGUCUGUAACUGACGCUGAGGCGCGAAAGCAUGGGGAGCGAACAGG
rnacentral:rRNA from 1 species